UUUUCCUGUGAAGUACAUUGUGUUGCAUUCCAUGUCUGAAAUGUGCUGUAAAUUUAGUUUGAUUUGAUUAGUGCAGUGGCAAGAGGGAUUUAGUCAUUAAAUUGUUUGCUAUCCAUUUUCCUUUCUUUCUGUGCCACCAAAUGUUUGCAUUUAGGCUACUGAUAAUGUUACCAGGACCACGUUCAGUUGCAAAACGUUCUCAAACGUUGCAGAUAGAAAUUCCAUGAAUGGAGCCAACAUUAUUCCUUAUUCAACAUGUCAGAGAGGCAUGUUUGUUCUAUAUACACAUUUCUUUUGGAACGUUCCAAAACGUGACGUCCUGCUGAAAGCACCGCAGGUUGUUAGCUGUAGCUAGCUAAUGAGGUAACAUAACUGAACAAGGUGUAGCCUAUUCUUUGAAUCAGCUGUGUACUGCUAGGGCAAAAAACAAAAUGUGCCCCUUGGGAGGGAGGGCCCUGAGGGUUAGGAUAACUACCAGUACUGUUAAUUUAACCCAUUUAUUUUAACACUGUGAUUUCAACUAUCCUUGAUUUGCAGGUUGAAAGGGAGACACAAAAGGUGAACUGCUAUAAAAAAAAUAGUAUAGAAAAGUAUUUUGUAUUUUGAAAAUGCAAAUUUCAGCUCUCGAAAGUAUCUUGUUACAAAAUACAUUGGGAUUGUAGUUCAGCCCAAUGUAAUUCAAAAAUGACAAAAUACUCAGAAGUAAUUGAAAUACACAUUUAAAAUACAUGUAACAGGAAUACUCGCCAUCUCUGCAUGCAGCAGACAACCCUGGUGAAGUGGCCAAGAAGAUCCCCCAUUUCUUUGAGCUGCCACUGGACGACCAUCUUACCACGACCAGGGAUCUGACCGUGCUGGUGUCUAAGAUGAAUGACAAGCAAAUGGACAAGACAGAGCUGGGCUAACUCCGAGCCAUCAUCCUCUUCAACCCAGAGAGAGGAAUCAGUCAGCCCUCAAGCCCAUGCCAAAUGUGGGACGAGACUCAGCAUCGGGGUCAAAUUCAGACCCACAAUACCUAUGACUUCAACUAUAGUCGCUGCUGCUGCCACUGUUUUACAGUAAGUAGGUAAGUAAACCUUGUACAAGUAAGCCUCAUCUCAGCCAGAAUGGCCCACAAGGGCAGGAGCCCAUCUCCUGAUUCUAUAGCGUGAGGCAGCUUGACUUGCCUAGUUAAAUAAAGGUGAAAUAAAAAUAAAUGUACGUACAAUUACACUUCCUAGACAGGACGCUAAUCCAUCUUCUUAAUGCUGAGUGACCCGACCAGGGAUCAGACCAGGCAAAAAUAUUGAAGGCAAAUAUGUUGCAGUGUGCAAACUUAACAUGAUGAACAGGAAUGGCAUUUACUCUCACAGGUGGCCAAAAAUAACUACAUGAAAGCCAAGCCCCCAAUAGGCCACACCUCCUGGAAAUAACCAAUGGAUUAUAUUUAAAAAAAGACCCAGCUGCUGGGUCAACUCAGAAUGAAAUUGAAUAAAAAACUCAACUGAUGUUUAAAUUAACCCAUGUUUGGCUGAUCAGAUUAUAUAUUUACAUUUUAUGAUAUUGCACAGAUAUAAAGGAAAGGUUAGGUUAUAGCAGGUCACUUCAUUUUUGAGCACAUGUACUGUAAGUAAUACAUCUUGUUAAAAAGCUUGUUUCCAAUAUUGGAAUAGCUGGUACUUUUUCUGUUACCUCCAAUCUCCCAUGUGAGUUAUACAGUUCAAAGUAUGCAAAGGCUGAAAGAAAGGUCUACUUUAAACUUUAGAAGAAAUAGGGCUUGAUUACAAGCUGAGACCACAAGCAGAGCGCUCACCAACCGAUCCUUCUGGGGAUCGGACCCUUUUUUCCCCAACUAUCGUCUAAAAGGACUUACCCAAAUCUAACUACAUGUAGCUCAGGACCUGAAGCAAGGAUAUGCAUAUUCUUGAUAUAAUUUGAAAGGAAACACUUUGAAGCUUGUGG